rnacentral:rRNA from 1 species
GAUGAACGCUGGCGGCGUGCCUAAUACAUGCAAGUCGAGCGAAUGGAUUAAGAGCUUGCUCUUAUGAAGUUAGCGGCGGACGGGUGAGUAACACGUGGGUAACCUGCCCAUAAGACUGGGAUAACUCCGGGAAACCGGGGCUAAUACCGGAUAAUAUUUUGAACUGCAUGGUUCAAAAUUGAAGGGCGGCUUCGGCUGUCACUUAUGGAUGGACCCGCGUCGCAUUAGCUAGGUGGUGAGGUAACGGCUCACCAAGGCAACGAUGCGUAGCCGACCUGAGAGGGUGAUCGGCCACACUGGGACUGAGACACGGCCCAGACUCCUACGGGAGGCAGCAGUAGGGAAUCUUCCGCAAUGGACGAAAGUCUGACGGAGCAACGCCGCGUGAGUGAUGAAGGCUUUCGGGUCGUAAAACUCUGUUGUUAGGGAAGAACAAGUGCUAGUUGAAUAAGCUGGCACCUUGACGGUACCUAACCAGAAAGCCACGGCUAACUACGUGCCAGCAGCCGCAGUAA